CGAAAUGUCAACAGCCAAACAUCAUGUUCUGACGCUCCUCUCCGGAAUGGUGAAAGCUCCGCCGCAGAAAGCUCUUUCCCUCCUCACCUCCUCACCUCACCACACUCACCAAUCCAUUUCAAUAAUCAUCCAUAACCUUUUCUCUCUCAACAUGCUGUCGCAGGCUGAAUCCUUCAUCCUUCGACUACUCUCCGGUAAAUUGCCAUCCCCCUUCUUCACAAUCGCUUCCCUUGUACCCUAUUUGACCGCCAAUUCGAAUUCCCCCCGCGUUUAUGAGGCAAUCAUUAGCGCUCAUAUCAAAGCGCAGCAGCCGGUGGAGCUCGCUCUCCCGUUGCUUGAUGAAAUGAUCGAUCGAGGGUUUGCUCCGUCGCCGAUUCUUUUCAAUUCUGUGCUGAAAUGUUUCGUGAAAGAGUGCAAUUACGAGAAGACGUGGUUGGUUUUUGAGAAAUAUAAGGGGAGAGUUGGAUUGGAUGUUUAUACAUUUGGGAUUCUGGUGAAAGGCUGCUGCGAGAGUGAUGAUUUGGAGAGGGGUUUUGAGAUUUUGGGGGAAAUGUGUGAUUUGGGAUUUAGCCCUAAUGUUGUUGUGUACACUACGUUGAUCCAUGGGUGUUGUAAGAAGGGCGAGGUCGAGAAGGCGAAGAGAUUGUUUUUCGAGAUGGAGGCGAUCGGAUUGGUCGCCAAUCAAUACACUUACACGGUGUUGAUAAAUGGGGUUUUCAAGAGAGGUUUGAAGAAAGAUGGGUUUGAGCUUUUUGAGAGGAUGAAGAGUGAAGGUGCAUUGCCUGAUUUGCAUACCUACAACUCCGUGCUGAAUGCGUAUUGCAGCGAUGGUGAAAUGCGGAAAGCGUUCCUACUGUUUGAUGAAAUGCGCCACAGAGGGGUGUCGUGCAAUGUUGUGACUUACAAUAUAUUGAUUGAGGGGCUGUGUAAGCAGGGGAAUAUGGGUGAGGCGAAGAGAUUGUUUGGUGAGAUGACAAGCUGUGGUUUGAGGUCAAGUGUGAUCACUUACAACUUGUUAAUGGAUGGGUACUGCCGCGCUGGGAUGCUUGAGAAAGCUCUGUAUUUGCACAAGGAGCUCAAGUCUUCCGGUUUAUCUCCAACCAUGAUCACCUACAACGUCCUGAUUGCAGGAUGUGCAAGAAGUGAGGACUCUUCUCGGGUUUUGAGCUUCGUAGGUGAGAUGGAAGAGAGGGGGAUUUCUCCAUCGAAGGUUACAUACACUAUCUUGAUUGAUUUCUUUGCGCGGUCUAACAACAUGGAGAAAGCACUCGAACUCCUUGAUUACAUGAAGAGGACUAGUUUGGUUGCAGAUGUUUACACUUACAGCGUCUUGAUAAAAGGGUGGUGCCAUGAAGGAAACAUGAGGGAAGCAUCAAAAUUGUUGCAGACAAUGCUUGAGAUGGAAGUCGAACCUAAUGAUGUAAUAUACAAUACGAUGAUCCAUGGAUAUUGCUUACAAGAUAGCUCCUAUAAAGCAUUGAAACUGCUCAAAGAAAUGUGUGAAAAGGGCAUGGUGCCAAAUGUAGCCAGUUACCACAUGACAAUGCAAGUCCUCAAAGGAGAUGGGAAACAAGACUCAGCUCAAAAUCUUCUUGCUGGCAUGUUGAAAUCUGGCUUAAAGCCAUCUUUUUUUGACUUGAAACAUCAAACGUCGAAGAUGGAAUCAGAUCACUUCUGAGACUUUGGUACAAUACUCUUUGAAUUAGGAUGAAUUUGCACCAUGUAGACAACUGGAGAGGCCUCAAGAUAAUAUGUUUCAGAAUCGAUAUGGUAAACUUGAUGACUGUUGAAAGCUUGGUUAGAGAUUUGAAUUUAAAUUUUAAAACUACAGUAGUGAAUAAAAGAGGUGGUUGUGACAUGACAUUGUACUUUAAAAAAGUGUGUGCAGCAUGGAGAGGACGGGACUCUUUUGCACUUAUUGGAUUCCAACAUUUUCUGGUAUGCUUAUAUCUUCUUCCAAGGGUGCACAUGGUUUAAUAUUGAUCAACAAAUUAGAUGACAGAAAGAUGAAAAAAAGUACUCCCUCCGUCCCGGGUUAGUCGCACGUUUACUUUUCGGCACGGAGAUUAUGGAAUGUGUGUAUAGCAAAGUCAACAAAAACGGCUGUUGGUGAUAAUUUUUACUAAAAAUGGAAAGAGUGCAAAUAACUUGGGACGCCCAGAAAGGAAAAUAGUGCAAGUAACACGGGACGGAAGGAGUACUAUUUUUGCAAAUACAUGAUGUGCUCAAUCUGCUAAAAUUGAUACUAGAUACAAAAUGAGUGAUUGUAAUUUAUCAACAAAGGGAUGGCCUCUCCGGAUAUUUUAACACAUGCUAAAUUUCAGUACCGUUGAAAGGUUAAUCUGUAUUGCCUAUUGCUAAACCUUUUGCAGCAAGUGCAAGAAGUGAUUGUGGUAAUAUUAUACUAUGUAAGUUGUUGAUAAUUUCAUGUUCCUAUUUGCACAGUUAUGGGUGUAGAUAGAACUUCAAAACUAAGAUGCUAUAUUUAUGGAGGAUCAGAAGAGACCUGACAGGGCUUCGAGGAAAACUUGUCCGGGUCCAGAAACGAGCCCAAGAUCCAUCUCGUGCAUAGAGAGAUGCGUGCGUGGAUCAAAACAAGAAUUACAUUUUUUUGUAUUUCUGAAUCCAGCAACUGUGAUCAGGAAUCCCCAUUCUUUUU